GUAUGCUGCCGCAUAGGCAGCUUAGAAA
rfam:Spirochaeta coccoides DSM 17374, complete genome.